AGACCGCCCAUUUCAGUGGGCCUCUGUGUUUGGAGAGAUGAACUUCUAAAGACUGGAACACUUCCUCCUGUCCGGCCAGAAGAGAUUUCCUGACACCACAGCUGGAAACCCGUGUGCAUUUCAGUUCAGGAAAGAAUGCGCGGUUUUCCCUAUAUCCGGAACUCGCCCCUGCGCAUUCCAAUACCUGAAGCGACCACAGGGUACGGGACAUGGAGCCCUGCGACAGUAAGAGUCGCGGCGCUAGACAAAGCCUGAUAUCACUCCGCUUCCAGAAGCCGGAUCCCCAUAAACUACGCUCUAGCUCCUCCCACUGCCGAUGUGGGUAACCCGGACGAGGAAGAACCUCGUCUGCGGAGGAAAAGGUAGAUGUUAAAUGGUAACUACGCUCGAGGUUCUGAGGAGCCCUGGGAACAGGAAGAAGAAAAUAAUACCAAAAUUGACAACAGUUUGCCAAUCGCAGUCUUUAAUCUGAUAAAGCGGUUAUCUCGUCUUGAGUCCCAGGUGCCGGGUCAGUCUCCAUACACAGCCGCCGCCAUUGCCUCGAGUCCUUGUGUCUGACUGUCUGUUCCUGCUGCUGUAUGACACAGCACCUCGAGGCAAGGAAACAAGAAAACUGCCUCUGAUCCAAGCAGAGAAGGUAGAUCUGUCCCCAGGUCUGUGGAACUGUCAGUUGUGAAGUUUUGUAAAAUGAUCACCCAACUUAAAACUAGGAAAUUACGAAGAAGAGAAAAUUGCCCUGUAUCUGUUAAGGUUGGUGUAAAGGUACAGGGACGGGAGCAACUUCGACUAGAGAAUUCCAUCUCUUCUGUUUUGUCAUUUUACCAGUUAUGCCCAUCUGCCCCACCCCCUGCUGCUGCUGAUAUAGUUGGGAGUCUUGGUCUUCCUGUAGAUCUGCUGUAG
rnacentral:lncRNA from 1 species